rnacentral:lncRNA from 1 species
AAAAGAGUAAGGGAUUUUUUGCAGAGAUCUAAAAGUGGAAAACAUUUUUGUUAAAAGCAGUGACAUCAAUGAAGUAAAUUAAGUGGGAUUAAACAUAAAGGUUUUCCAUCCUUUCAGUCAACUCACCUUUUCCAUCAAUAGCAACCACCAUGGCCAGCUGUUCUUUUUCAUGGCCUUGCUUUAUGUACCCAUUUGGAACAGCAACUAGCACACUCUGUCAUCUCUCCUGCAAGGUUUUCAGUUAACUCACCUGCAGCCACGUAAUUGCUCUUGCUGACCUAAGG